UACAGAGGGUGCGAGCGUUAAUCGGAAUUACUGGGCGUAAAGCGCACGUAGGCGGCUUGGUAUGUCGGGUGUGAAAUCCCCGGGCUCAACCUGGGAACUGCAUCCGAAACUGCCUUGCUCGAGUAUGGGAGAGGGAAGUGGAAUUUCCGGUGUAGCGGUGAAAUGCGUAGAUAUCGGAAGGAACAUCAGUGGCGGAAGGCGAACUUCCUGGACCAAUACUGACGCUCAGGUGCGAAAGCGUGGGGAGCCAAACAGGG
rnacentral:rRNA from 1 species